rnacentral:lncRNA from 1 species
GGGAAAUUUGUCUCACCAUACAAUUGUCCCCUAGAAAUACUAUCUUGGAUGAAUCUUCUAUUGUCUCACAAGCACCUUCUGGUGAUCUUGCAUCAAGUUCAGAGACCUCCCAACUGAUGAGGGAAGCGCCUUUGUGUACUUCUGGUGGCAAAAUUGAUUCAUCUUCUUUGAUGGAUCUUGAAGAAACUAGAGCUACCAAGGAAAAUAAGUCAAACACAACAUCUUUUGUUGAGCUAUUGUCUCAGAUGUUCCGUGGGAAGAAUGCAGAAUCUGUUCCUUUAGCUGAAAAUAGGGACCUUGAUUCCUUAGAACAGUCAGAAGGGACAUCUACGAAAGCGGAUGUAUGUGCUGACUCAGCUGACAAUGUACCAUGUGAGAACAAAUUCGAGGAACUACUGGAAACUAUGGCCUCAAAAUGUCUCGGGUCUGAUAUGCCUGGGCAUCUACCUGGUGGAAUAUUACUUGAUCAAUCUUACGCUAUUGCACCAGGUGAUCUGAACUCCCUUCUUUUUUCACCAGAUUCAAAUGUUAGGAAAUCUUUUGCAGNNNNNNNNNNNNNNNNNNNNAUCUGUUUUUUCAUUUGCCUUGUGCAUAAGAUUUUCUCAGCUGCUAUGAGCAAACUAUCUUAUCGUAUGAUGCAGGGACACCAGGUCGAAGGGUCCAGCUUCCAUACUCUGAUCUCUCAUUGCCCUGCACUAAAUAUCAGCCAUUUCAACAUGCGCAAACUAAAUUGGGAGCUCGGCGACUACGUUCUGGCGCACUGAUAUGUGCUGCAGCCUUGGUGUGUUACUUAUAACCGUCAUGAAAUUAUACUUGUGCAUGAUAAGGUUUCAUAAAUUAAUGCCGUUAGUAUGUGAUUAUUGGCUCUAAGGC